UGGGGGAUAUUGCACAAUGGGCGAAAGCCUGAUGCAGCGACGCCGCGUGGGGGAUGAAGGCCUUCGGGUUGUAAACUUCUUUUGCUCUGAACAAGGCAUGCUAAUGGGUGUGUUGAGUGUAGGGGUUGAUUAGCGCCGGCUAACUACGUGCCAGCAGCCGCGGUAAUACGUAGGGCGCGAGCGUUGUCCGGAAUUAUUGGGCGUAAAGGGCUUGUAGGUGGCUGGUUGCGUCUGUCGUGAAAGCUCAUGGCUUAACUGUGGGUUUGCGGUGGGGACGGGCUGGCUUGAGUGCAGUAGGGGAGGCUGGAAUUCCUGGUGUAGCGGUGGAAUGCGAAGAUAUCAGGAGGAAUACCGGUGGCGAAGGCGGGUCUCUGGGCUGUUACUGACACUGAGGAGCGAAAGCAUGGGGAGCGAACAGG
rnacentral:rRNA from 1 species